CAGGAAUGAAAUUUGACAGCUGGACCACAACUGGAGCUAACUAAAGUCAGAAACCCAUGACUCAAAUGCCACCCAGAACCAUUUGACAUAAUCUACUGAUGUCAAAUUUCCAGUUAGGGUUGGUUUAGGAUUAGCGUGUGUUUCGAGAAUCUGGGCUUGAGUUGUUUGAAGGUUUAACUGUACUGGCUGUGGAGAAAAUGCUGAAUGACUCGUCUUGCAAUGUCUAUCAUUAACUGUCAACACAAAUGCAUGCUGAUAUGCUACUUGAAUGCUACUUGAAAAGUACCAAAAGAAACCAUUGAUCAUGGUGCCCCAACUUAGUGGUUAUGUGAGAAAUGACUCGAGGUGCCAAGCUGCACAUCUGCAGGGGAACGCCGCCAGCAUGCCGUAAGGAACUCGAUCCUCUUGAUGCCUCUUCGUGCAAUGACAAUCGUACGGCUGUAUCUGUUGAAUAACACUUUUCACUUAAAGCCCCACAAAGAGCUGCUCUCUGGGCGGAGGGAAAACAAAUCUUGAACGUAUUACUGUAUUUACUUUCUUUGGCUGAGCCCCGGUCGGGUCGGGGAGGCAGUAGUGGCUUUUGUGGACGGGUGUUUAUUGUUUGGGCUUUGUUGUUUUUGGGUCUUAAUUAAUGCUAUGUUGACGACCUCUGUCACAUACACCAGCGAGCAACGAUCUAGUCUCACGCAAUGUGCGGCCCGAUCUGAAGGCCAAAGCACAGAGAUCUACCACACCGCCGGUUGCUGGGAGGAAGACAGACGUGAAAGAGAAAAUACACAAAGCAAAGCAGAAUCUGUCACGCCAUUCAGUCAUGAAGUUUAUUUUGAAUUGGAAACAGCAGCAGCUGAGAAGCGCUUGACUCGUGUGCGGCCUGCAGACUCUAGAUGCAUUAAGCAGGUGAGCGCGUGUGUGUUUGCGGCUCUGUUGCCCCAGACAGGGCAGGGGCCUUGGGGUCAGAAACACAGGCCUCAUUUAGGAAGUGGUUCAUGACCAGCCUGGAAACUAUUAACAGGGCUGGUCUGUAUGCCACGCCACUGUUAGACCCAUUCAACUACCUCUACACUGGCCCAAACGGGACCUGAAUGCACUGAUUUUAGGGUGAAAUCUGAACUACAGAUUUCGGAUCUAUAGCACUUUUCACAUUGUUUUAAAGCAGCUGUAAAGUCUUAAUGUUAAUGUUUAUAAUAUCUUAAUAUUUUCAUGAUUUAUAGCCGCAUAGAUUAGAGCUGGGCGAUGAUAGAGUUUACAUUUUGCAACGAUAAAAGCAGUCAGGCAGUUGAGAUUUGCUGUAUAGUAAAUAUCACUUUACGUGAGUUCACUGUAUGUGUGUGUGCAGAUAAAGUUGGAUAAACUUGUAUUUACAACUUCAUAUAAAGAGCUGGGUGAUAAUUUAGUCACAUUUUUGCAACGAUAUGAACAAUGACAUCUGCACAGAUUUGCUAUAGCGUAUGUAGUUAUUAGCAGACUUGUCGCCACACCAGAAUUUUUGUAGUUACACUGAAAAAAAUUUGGAAGCAGUUUUCACUCAGAAAUUGCUGGUAAAUUUUACAAAAAUAA
ensembl:lncRNA